AUUGAACGCUGGCGGCAGGCCUAAUACAUGCAAGUCGGACGGUAACAUAAGAAAAGCUUGCUUUUCUUGAUGACGAGUGGCGGACGGGUGAGUAAGAUUUGGGAAACUACCUGAUAGAGGGGGACAACAGUUGGAAACGACUGCUAAUACCGCAUACAGCCUUAGGGUGAAAGAAGAAAUUCGCUAUCAGAUGUGCCCAAACGGGAUUAGCUAGUAGGUGAGGUAAAGGCUCACCUAGGCGACGAUCUCUAGCUGGUCUGAGAGGAUGAUCAGCCACAUUGGGACUGAGACACGGCCCAGACUCCUACGGGAGGCAGCAGUAGGGAAUAUUGCACAAUGGAGGAAACUCUGAUGCAGCCAUGCCGCGUGUGUGAAGAAGGCCUUCGGGUUGUAAAGCACUUUCGGAGGGGAGGAAGAAAAUGACGUUACCCUCAGAAGAAGCACCGGCUAACUCCGUG
rnacentral:rRNA from 1 species